rnacentral:rRNA from 1 species
AAUAUUGCACAAUGGGCGAAAGCCUGAUGCAGCAACGCGGCGUGAGUGAUGAAGGCCUUCGGGUCGUAAAGAUCUUUGAUCAGGGAUGAUAAUGACAGUACAUGAAACACAAGCCACGGCUAACUACGUGCCAGCAGCCGCGGUAAAACGUAUGUGGCGAGAGUUGUCCGGAAUUACUGGGCGUAAAGGAUGCGUAGGUAGAUACUUAAGUGGGAUGUGAAAUCCCCGGGCUCAACCCGGGAACUGCAAUCCAAACUGGGUAUCUAGAGUGCAGGAGAGGAAAGCGGAAUUCCUAGUGUAGCGGUGAAAUGCGUAGAUAUUAGGAGGAACACCAGUGGCGAAGGCGGCUUUCUGGACUGUAACUGACACUGAGGCAUGAAAGCGUUGGUAGCAAACAGG